rnacentral:rRNA from 1 species
GACGAACGCUGGCGGCGUGCUUAACACAUGCAAGUCGAACGGAAAGGCCCUGCUUUUGUGGGGUGCUCGAGUGGCGAACGGGUGAGUAACACGUGAGUAACCUGCCCUUGACUUUGGGAUAACUUCAGGAAACUGGGGCUAAUACCGGAUAGGAGCUCCUGCUGCAUGGUGGGGGUUGGAAAGUUUCGGCGGUUGGGGAUGGACUCGCGGCUUAUCAGCUUGUUGGUGGGGUAGUGGCUUACCAAGGCGUUGACGGGUAGCCGGCCUGAGAGGGUGACCGGCCACAUUGGGACUGAGAUACGGCCCAGACUCCUACGGGAGGCAGCAGUGGGGAAUAUUGCACAAUGGGCGGAAGCCUGAUGCAGCAACGCCGCGUGCGGGAUGACGGCCUUCGGGUUGUAAACCGCUUUCGCCUGUGACGAAGCGUGAGUGACGGUAAUGGGUAAAGAAGCACCGGCUAACUACGUGCCAGCAGCCGCGGUGAUACGUAGGGUGCGAGCGUUGUCCGGAUUUAUUGGGCGUAAAGGGCUCGUAGGUGGUUGAUCGCGUCGGAAGUGUAAUCUUGGGGCUUAACCCUGAGCGUGCUUUCGAUACGGGUUGACUUGAGGAAGGUAGGGGAGAAUGGAAUUCCUGGUGGAGCGGUGGAAUGCGCAGAUAUCAGGAGGAACACCAGUGGCGAAGGCGGUUCUCUGGGCCUUUCCUGACGCUGAGGAGCGAAAGCGUGGGGAGCGAACAGGCUUAGAUACCCUGGUAGUCCACGCUGUAAACGGUGGGUACUAGGUGUGGGGUCCAUUCCACGGGUUCCGUGCCGUAGCUAACGCUUUAAGUACCCCGCCUGGGGAGUACGGCCGCAAGGCUAAAACUCAAAGGAAUUGACGGGGCCCCGCACAAGCGGCGGAGCAUGCGGAUUAAUUCGAUGCAACGCGUAGAACCUUACCUGGGUUUGACAUGGAUCGGGAGCGCUCAGAGAUGGGUGUGCCUCUUUUGGGGUCGGUUCACAGGUGGUGCAUGGCUGUCGUCAGCUCGUGUCGUGAGAUGUUGGGUUAAGUCCCGCAACGAGCGCAACCCUUGUUCACUGUUGCCAGCACGUUAUGGUGGGGACUCAGUGGAGACCGCCGGGGUCAACUCGGAGGAAGGUGGGGAUGACGUCAAGUCAUCAUGCCCCUUAUGUCCAGGGCUUCACGCAUGCUACAAUGGCUGGUACAGAGAGUGGCGAGCCUGUGAGGGUGAGCGAAUCUCGGAAAGCCGGUCUCAGUUCGGAUUGGGGUCUGCAACUCGACCUCAUGAAGUCGGAGUCGCUAGUAAUCGCAGAUCAGCAACGCUGCGGUGAAUACGUUCCCGGG